UGACACAAUGUGCACUAGUAUUAUGUCUGUAAACUAGUUAGCCUUACCCAAAUCAUUGAUUUUAAUAUGAUAAGUUGCAUCUUGUAGCAUAUCUUGUAGGAAGAACUCACUGUAGGUAUGCAUGUUAAUUUAACUUUGGGCUUCACUCUGAUCAGGGCAAAGGAAACCAUGUGGCUUUCACCAGCAGCCUUCACUGAAUCUGAACAUCAGAAGGAGACCAUAAAAAGUCUUUACGGAUAUUUUCAAGUGUCACAAAUGUGGGAUGUCCCCAGCUUUUAUUGCCGUCAUAUCUUCCAGUGGACAUCAAUAAUAAUCCAGUAUGCACAAACACAGGACAGAUGCAACUGAUAUGUUUGUUACUUUCUUCUGUAAUGUCAUGUAUUGUUCCCUUUUUCAUCAGUUAUCCGAGUAACUUUUGUUUUCAAAUGCUUCUCUUGAUUGUACCCUGUUAUUGCAUCCUAAUCUUCUUUUGCUAUCCUACUCUUCUUUAAGGACAUGCCACUGUGAAUGACAGCAGCUCAUAACGGAUCAUUUCCAAUCAUGGUGAUUGUGUCAGAUCACAUGUGGCAUGCUGGUGUCAUGUGAUCAAGCAUUCUAUACUGUAUGUGGACUGCAAUGCAGAGGAAACAGGUGAGCAGAGCAGAGGCAAAAGGAGAGACACAUAUUAGGGCAAGUCUUAUUGGCUCUUUCACCAGAAAAAUACAGCACAUCUUUGCACUGGUGUCUCUUCUUAUCACCACCAAGGUCCACCUUUGGAGUAAAUAUUCAUCAAAAUUUCACUAAUACCAAUACCAAUCAAAUCUUUCACCCUGGACUGUCAGCAUGAUAAUACAAGUCAUUACAGGCUGUUCUGGUACAGACAGCAGAACUAUGGACAAUUGAACAUGAUUGGUUAUUCUAGUGCUAAAGAUAAUGGACAAAUAGA